rnacentral:rRNA from 1 species
AUGAAGAUGGCGACUUGCAUUCGUAAGGUGGCCUCGGAGGAGUUUGGAGUGUCCAGGGGAAGGAGAAGCGAAGAUAAGGAUACCUGGUGGUGGAAUGAUGAUGUCCAGAAGGCGCUUAAAGAGAAGAAAGAUUGCUUCAGACGCCUAUACCUGGAUAGGAGUGCAGACAACAUAGAGAAGUACAAGAUGGCGAAGAAGGCCGCAAAGCGAGCUGUUGGUGAAGCAAGGGGUCGGGCAUAUGAGGACCUCUACCAACGGUUAGGCACGAAGGAAGGUGAAAGGGACAUCUAUAAGAUGGCUAAGAUCCGGGAGAGGAAGACGAGGGAUAUUGGCCAAGUCAAAUGCAUCAAGGACGGAGCAGGCCAACUCUUGGUGAAGGACGAAGAGAUUAAGCAUAGAUGA